rnacentral:tRNA from 1 species
GGGGACGUCGUCUAGUCUGGUUAGGACGCUACUCUGACGAGGUAGAGGUCAUGGGUUCAAAUCCCAUCGUCCCCACCA